AUCAAGACUGAAGAUCUCCCUUCAAGUUACUUUAGGAGUUUUGGGUUUUCUUAUGUUUUGUUAUCUUUAUGCUUUUGAGAUGUUUUCUUCUAUAAUCAUGAACUAAACCCCCUAAAUACCUAAGGGGAAUUAAACCUAAGACGGAUCUUAUUAUUAUUAUCUGAAUUGUAUGAUAAAUAUUUGACUUGUUCUUAAUUAUGUGUUCUUAAUUCUUGUUUUAAUAUUCCAUGAUAUUGAUUUGAGUUAAUGCUCUUAUUUAGAGGAGGAAUAGACCCUGUCUAAGAGUAAAUUUGUCAUAAUUAAGCGGAGUUGAUUGCACGCCUAGAGAUAGGGUGAUAAGAUUUUGCCGAAUUAGGGUGAAACCUAAUAAGGGGAUCCAUAGAUCGAGUUAAUGCAACACUAGGUGUUAAUUAGAACAAGAUUUCAAUUAAUCAACCUAGGGUUAGACGUUAUUAGUCUUGAGAGAGAUAAUAAUACAACUUAGGGAUUUCUACGGAUCAAGUCAAAUGAAUAAAUCAUCUGAUUCAGAGUCAAAUAACAAGUGAAGUCUAGGUGGAUUUUUCCUUGGGUAUUGUCUUAAUGAAUUGAAUUUUCCCAAAAGCUUUUCCCCAAUUUCUCUCUGUGCACUCUUAGUUUAGUUAACUAAUUUAGAUAAACAAAUCCCUUAAUUUUUUAGGUUAGAUAAUAAAAAGAAAGUAAUUACUAGUACUCUUGGUUCCUUUGGGUUCGACAAUCCAGUCUUGAUAAAGCUAUACUACUGUUCGAUAUGUACACUUGCCUUCAUCGUGAUAAUAGUCAGUUUCAAGAACGAUUAAUUAUAAAUAUUUAAAACCUGUCAUGAAUAUCACGUAUCAAGUUUUUGGCGCCGUUGCCGGGGAACUAGGAUAUUAGGAACACUCGAUUUUUAUUACUUUAGCCAUUUUACUUUUUAUUGCAAUUUAAAUUUUCAUUUUCUGUUCUAAUUUUUCAUUUAUUUUCUUCUGACAGGUUUUUCUAGUUUAUGACCAGAAGAAACCCGUCAGGACCACUACUUUUUGACGGUGAGAUCGAUCGCACAGUUUGCAGAAACCGAAGAGAAAUAAGGCGAAGCUUACUAUACACGGAGGAAGAGCAAGAGGAUGAUACUUCAACCACAACCGAGGAGAUGGCUGAAAACCAAGAAAAUUUGCUACCUCCUGUGAUUGUUGCUGAUCCAGUAAAUCAGAAUCCUGCUCCACGCACUAUGCAUGACUAUGCUAAACCUUCUUUAACAGGAACUAAAUCAAGCAUAGUUAGGCCUGCUGUUGCUGCAAAUAAUUUUUAACUGAAACCUAACACAAUUCAAAUGAUCCAACAGUUUGUUCAGUUUGAUGGUUUGCAGGAUGAGGAUCCCAACGCUCACUUGGAAAAUUUCUUAGAGUUUUGCGACACUUUUAAAAUCAAUGGCGUUUCUAAUAACGCCAUUCGCCUUUGGUUAUUCCCUUUUUCAUUGAGGAAUAAGGCUAAACAAUGGUUGAACUCAUUACCACGAGGGUCAAUCACUACUUGGGAACAAAUGAUCGAAAAUUUUUUACUUAAAUAUUUUCCGCCAGCUAAAACGGCUAAGUUAGGGAAUGACAUUUCUUUCUUUGUGCAGAUGGAUUUAUAAACACUCUAUGAUGCAUGGGAGAGAUACAAGGAUCUUUUGAGAAGAUGCCCUUACCAUGGGUUACCACUUUGGCUACAGGUUCAAACAUUUUACAACAGUGUGAACCCCUCAACGAGGCAACUCAUCGACGCAGCCACCGGUGGAACUUUGAAUAACAAAACACCUGAGGCAGCUUACGAAUUUAUUGAAGAGAUGUCACUAAAUAACUAUCAGUGGCAAUUUAUGAGGACAAAGCCGACGAAAGCAGCUGGUGUUUUCAACCUCGAUACGGUUUCUAUGCUAUCUAACCAAGUAAAACUCUUAAAUAAAAAGAUUGACGGUUUGUGUGGUUCUACUCAGGUACAUCUAGUGAUGAGGUGCGAUUCAAAUAGAGGAGGAGCAUGCACAGAAUAUCAACCCUUCAACCCUAGCCUCGAGGAGGAACAAGUCCAAUAUAUGGGUAACAAUAACUCUAGACCCCAAAAUAACAUGUAUGUAACACUUAUAAUGCACGUUGGAGGAACCAUCUAAAUUUCUCGUGGGGUGGUUAAGGAAAUAAAAGGCCACAACAUCCUCCGGGUUUUCAACAACCACCUUACCAGAAAGAAAAGAAGCCGAACCUUGAGGAGAUGUUAACAAAAUUCAUCUCGGUGUCAGAAACUCAUUUCCAGAAUACCGAGACAGCCCUUAAGAAUCAACAAGCAUCAAUCCAAGGGCUCAAAACGUAGAUAGGCCAACUUGCCAAAUUGAUUUCUGAACGACCACAAGGUAGUUUGCUGAGUAACACAGAAUCUAACCCAAGGGAACAACUCAGUACGAUUACCACUCAAGACAAGGAAGAGUUAGUUGAGCCUACAUCAGAACCGAGGUAAGGAAUUGUGGUAAGUCAAGAUAAAGGUUAGGUGGACCACAAUGAGCAAAAAACGGUAAGAGUACAAACCACGGGUACCAUACCCCAAUGCGACAAGGAAAAGACAGUACAGAUGAACAAUUCGGUAAAUUCCUUAAACUAUUAAAGAAAUUACAUAUUAACUUACCAUUUAUCACAGCUCUCUCACAGAUGCCAAAUGCAGUCAAAUUUUUAAGGAAGCUUCUAGCAAACAAACGAAAGUUGGAUGAGGCAUCGCAUGUGGAGUUGAAUGCAGUUUGCUCAGCUAUUCUACAGAAUAAGCUACCCAACAAAUUGAAAGAUCCAGGGAGUUUUACGAUUCCUUGUUUAAUUGGUAAUUUAGAUGUUCAUAAUGCAUUUGUUGACUUAAGGGUAAGCAUUAAUGUUUUGCCUUAUAAAAUGUUUAAACAGCUAGGUCUUGGGAAACCCAAACAAACUAGGAUGAGCAUUCAAUUAGUUGAUAAAACCAUUAGAUUUCCUAGGGGUAUCAUUGAAAAUGUUCUUCUUAAGAUCGAUAAAUUUAUAUACCCAAUAGACUUUAUAGUUCUAGAAAUGGAAGAGGAUAAUAACGCACCUUUGAUUUUAGGAUGACCCUUUUUAGUGACUGCUAGAACCAUUAUUGAUGUUGGUACAGGUAAACUCACACUUCGUGUAGGAGACAAAACAAUCACCCUUCAAGCUCGUAAUUCAAGUAACACAUCAAAAAUUGAAGGUGGUUGUAUAAAUCAUUCUACUAGUACUGAUCAUGUGGUGAAACCCUCUGUGUAGGAAAUAGUUUCGAAGAACGCAUAUGAGCCGUGUUCAAACAAUAACAAAUGACCUAUCUAUGAAGAACGAAGGCUACAAAUCAAGGAACUGGAUGAAUGGCGGACACAUGGACCAAGGACACACGAUAAACCAAAACCACGCCAUGACGAUCUCAAUGACACACCAAAUCAACUUAAGGUUGGAGACAAAGUACUACUAGAUGCAGCAGACCUUCGCAUUGCCACUUCUAAACCUAAUGAAGAAAUUACUCUCAGGGUACUCAAUAUUUUCCCAUAUGGUACAGUCAAGGUAAUUCAUCCUAAAUUUGGCACUUUUAAGGAAAACAAUACUUGUCUUAAACCUUAUAUUGAUAAAGUUGAUAAUAGGGAUGAGGAGUGUAGACUCCUCGAGCCACCAUGAUCACACACCAGAGAGGUAAGUCAAGCUUAGAUUAUAAAUUAGCGCUUCUCGGGAGGCAACCUGAGCACUAACAGUAAUGAUUUAUUCAAAUUCUAGUUUUUCACAUCUAACCUACUAACUGAGUCUUGAAACAUAGGGUUUUCCCAUCCACACGGCCAGGCACACGGGCGUGGCUUAGACCGUGCUCACACUACAAGAGGAGACACGGCCAUGCGAUACGGUCGUGUGAAAGCAGGGCAAAAGUUUUCCCCAACACGGGAUGUGAUAAGUUGCCAUGGCCGUGCGACAUGGUUGUGGGAAAAACUGCCAAAACAACAUGGGCAUGAGACACGCCCGUGCCUUGAAACUGUGGUUGAAACUGAGAAUUUAACACGGACGUGCGACACGCCCGUGUCAUUCACCCACGGUCGACACUGUCAAAAAGAACACGCCGUGGGCAUCAUAACGGGCUUGGGAGAAGCGAACGAAGUAAGACACGACCGUGUACACCCACAUGUCUAAGGAACACGGGCAUGGGCCGAAUGUCAUACGCGCCCAAAUUUAAAAAUUGCGGAACACACGGGAAAAAAUUAGGGCACACGGGUGUGGCCUACGGCUAUGUGCCCCAAAAUCUAUGUAAACCCCUUACUAUUCAUAAUCUCCCUCCCCAAAAAUCCCUAACCCUAGCGCUGCAACUCCACACACCCUACCUGCCAUGCCCUUGCGCCGCCUACAAUAAUGUUUCUAACUACUCAAGCUUCUCCCUUUUGCAUUUGUUUCCUCUUUUCUCUCUAUUUUCUUUAAAUAUUUUUCCUAUUUCAUGAGUUUUCUGAUCCAUUUGACUAUCUUAAGUGAAUAUUAAUAGUAGAAUAAUAGAAAUACUCAUGCUUGUCAUUAAAGAAUAUUGCCAUUUUUCAUACUACAUUCAUCCAUUUUUCUUGUUUCCAUGGAUUUUAUAUUUACCCACAUACAUUCAUGCAUUAGAUUUUAUCGUCGUAUUAUUCUCAAAGUCCUAUUUUAAUGACUUGAUAUAAUUGCUUUAGUUGUUUUAGUUUUGUUCUCUUCAUUUAGUAUGCGAGUCUCAUGAAAUAUUCCUAAUUAGUUUUGUUUUUUCAUGCUAUUUUUGGGACGUAUUGGUUGAACUUCGACUUUUCAAUGCAGGUACAAUGUCAUCCUCACAUGGCAAGAAGACCGCUGUUCCCGCCUCGAAGAAAAGGAAAGGAGCAGCGUCAUCCUCAAGUCCUACCGCGGAGAUUAGACACUUGUUCCUCCAGGUUCCCUUGGGACCCUAGGAGGAAUUAUAUCAGAUAUUACAGGCCCGACCCCUAGAUGUGGGUCGCUGCAUUGACUGGGCCGCACUUGAACAUAAUCAUUUGGUUGACGCGGUCUGAGCCCUCCUGAUGACUGACCCGUGGGGGCUCUUUUUUGAGAUCGUCGAGCCGACGUAUCUCGAGUUCACAUUGGAGCUCUGCUCGACGUUCCAUCUUCAGACCGUCAUGACCAACUUCGACGAUCCUGGAACGAUCUAGUUCCGCCUUGGUAGUCUAGUAUGCUAGUUGAGAGUACCCGAGUUCGGGAUUGCACUAGGGCUGUACAUGGAGGAGUUCAUGGACGACAAUAAACUCAACACCCUCCACUACCACAUCCACUACUCCCCCUCAAAAUACUGGAGGGACCUCGUCCCUGCCUUGGCCACCUAUGAUCCUAGCCGCUCUAAGGCAUCGGCCCUCACCCCAUCCCAGUGAUACCUAUACUCCAUCUUGGCCCACACUCUGACGGGACGACGAAGGAGCACCGGUGUCGUCACCACCCACGACGCCUAUUUCUUAUGGAGCAUGGCAAAUGGGCACGUCCGCCAUCAGACGAAGCGAUAUAGGAGAGGGAUCAUCUCUAUCGGGCCCUAUGUGACUCGACUGGCUCGACACUUCGGGCUCCUCAACAUAGCAGCACAAUCAUCCUCCCUCACUCUCAUUGGCCAGAUGUCCCCACAGGGCAUCUCGAGCAUGCUAAGGAUGAGGAUGAUCGAGAAAUGACAUGGCACCUACCCUCUUCAGUACCGCCUCGUCCAGUCCAUCGAGGAGGAGGACCCAGAGGACAUUACUGAUGAUGUCCUUCCAUGUCAUGAGGACCCACCGUCUCAGCCACCACCCAUCCAUCAUCUAGUUCAUGCGGCGGCUUCAUAUUUUGACAUCUCUGAGCACCUUACAUGAUUUGAGCAGUAAUGUUUUCAGCGCUUCGAUCACAUUGAUGCGACUCUACAUCAGAUUUGUCAGCACUUCCACAUCUCAUCGCCACCACCAUCUCACGAACCAUCCGGCGAUGACAAUGUUUAAAAACUUUUUAUUUUUUAUUUUAAUUUUCACUUUUAUCUUUAUUUAUCUUAAUUAAGUACUUUUUAUUUCAUUUUUCUUUAAUAUUAUUUUAAUAUUAGUUUUUAUAAUUUUUAUUGAAUAAUUUAUAGUUUUGGCUAUUUCAUUACGAGUAAUUAUGCUUCAUUAUAUUCCCUAAAAAGUUCCUGAUUCUAUCACAGUUAUAAAGAGCUCCAAAUCUCAUCAUGGCAUAGGAACCAAAAACUCUACUGGGAAAGGUUCUCCACGACUGCCAUGUCCUGCUCGACUACGACCAUCGCUACCACCAGAUAUAAUAUUCUUUUGGUUCAGGACUUAUGGACUAAUGAACCUCUACCACCACCGGAAUAUCCUCCUCCUCUCUCAUCAUUGCCUUGGCUUAUUAUUCUUUAUAACUCCAACUCAAGGAGUUCAUUCAUCAUUUAGGAAGUUUCACUUCUCCCCCUAUCUCAUGAUUAUAUAUCUAUCUUUUUCAAUAUAUCUAUUGUCGAAACCUUUUUUAUUUUGAAAGUAAUGGGGAUCGACUUUUGAAAACAAAAAUGUGGAGUCACCACCAAUCUCUUGAUCUAGGUGUGAUUAGACCACCUGCUAAAACGUUUUAUUCAAUGGAAAAUGUUUUGUUCUUCUAUGUAUUUGACUUGUUCUUAAUAUAUAUAUAUAUAUUUCAACACAUAUUAGUAGUAAUUCAUCGUUUUUGCGCUUGAGCGUUAAUUUCAUAUUCUGAGAAGAAGCUCACUUGUAUUUAAUUGAUGACUAGUAAUUUUUCUAGCUAGGUAAUUUUUCAAUUCAAUCUCGGUUUUAACCUUUUCUUUCAGCUUGCGACCACACCCUCUAACCAAAGUCACGUUACAACCCUCUAAAAGACCUUUUUGAUUGAUGUAUCAACUCAAUAUAUAGUGGUGGAGAUUUGAUUUUCAAGCAAGCCUAUGGCAAUAGCUUUUCAUAUUGACUAAUGAGUGCUUUAAUUGAUGUCCUUAAACACCUUGAGUGAUUUGAGUGAAUCUUUAGUGAGGAUGUUAAACUCUGUGAUAUUUUGAUCAAAGGUAUUCACUUAGAUAAUGGGAGAAACCUAUGUUUUCGUGAUAAAAUACUCAACUUAGAAUGUUUGAAACUUUGAUGUACUUUUAGUUGAAUUUUCAAUGUAUGAAUACUCAUCGAUUAUUUUGAGAUAUUAUUGAUACGGGUUAUAAAUUUUCUUGAGGACAACCAAACGUUUAAGUGUGGGGGUAUUUGAUAAACCAUAAUUUAUACAUGUUUUUAUCCCAUGCUUAGCACAUUUAUGGAUGGUUUCUCCUUAGAUUUGGUGAAUUCGAUGCUCCUAAUUCUUUAAUUUCAUGUUUUAUACUUAGGUGAGCAUAGGAGAGUAAAAAAAGCAAGAAACGGGCUGAAAACAAAGAAAAUGGACCCACAUGGGAAAUCAACACAGCUUGGACUUCCUCACACGGCCGUGUCACAUGGCCGUGUCCCUUUGGCAAGAUCAAAGCACGACUUACACGAGUAGACUACACACCCGUGCUUAUUCAACAGCCUUGACCACAGGCUAGAGUAAUCGCACACGGGCGUGUCCCUGUCGAGCCCAAGUAUAACCCUAUUUGGAAAAGGCCAAUUUUGAGGGCUCUUAGGCAUUCUAAAGCCUAUUUAAACACCGGAGGAGGUACUUAGGAAGGGGACGCAGAGUAGGAAGCAAGGAAUUACUCAAGGAAAGCCGAUUGAUCCAUCUUAGAAGGCAGACUCAUCUUCAAGACUGAAGAUCUCCCUUCAAGAUCCUUCAGGAGUUUUGGGUUUUUUUAUGUUUUGUUAUCUUUAUGCUUUUGAGAUAUUUUCUUCUAUAAUCAUGAACUAAACCCCCUAAAUACCUAAGGGGAAUUAACCUAAGAUGGAUCUUGUUAUUAUUAUCUGAAUUGUAUGAUAAAUAUUUUACUUGUUCUUAAUUAUGUAUUCUUAAUUCUUGCUUUAAUAUUUCAGGAUAUUGAUUCGAG
rnacentral:lncRNA from 1 species